UUGGACCUGAAUCAAGGCCGACAGCUUCCUGAUGUUGUUGGUUUCAAGCAGAAGCCUAAAGAGAUGUGUUUCUGUGGUCUGUUGGCCAUUUCAGAACUCGGGCAAUGAAAUGGUCAAUUCUUUAGAACAAAACAGAU
ensembl:snoRNA small nucleolar RNA SNORA2/SNORA34 family